GAUUAAGUGUCGUAAGGGCAUUUGGUGGAUGCCUUGGCAUGCACAGGCGAAGAAGGACGUGAUACGCUGCGAAAAGCCGUGGGGAGCUGCGAAUAAGCUUUGAUCCAUGGAUAUCCGAAUGGGGAAACCCACCUUAAAUGCUUAGAAAAUCCAAACUGUCAGCGAUGACGGCUUGGGUUUCUAAGCAUUGUGAUAAGGUAUCUAGCCCUGAAUACAUAGGGGUUAGAAGCGAACGCAGGGAACUGAAACAUCUAAGUACCUGCAGGAAAGGACAUCAACCGAGACUCCGCAAGUAGUGGCGAGCGAACGCGGACCAGGCCAGUGGCAAUGAGGAAUAAAGCUGAACAGGUUGGAAAGCCUGGCUAUAGUGGGUGAUAGCCCCGUAAGCGUAGAACACUCAUUGUCCUUGAGUAAGGCGGGACACGUGAAAUCCUGUCUGAACAUGGGGAGACCACUCUCCAAGCCUAAGUACUCGUGCAUGACCGAUAGCGAACAAGUACCGUGAGGGAAAGGUGAAAAGCACCCCGACAAGGGGAGUGAAAUAGAACCUGAAACCGGAUGCCUACAAGCAGUCGGAGGGCGCAAGCCUGACGGCGUACCUUUUGUAUAAUGGGUCAACGACUUAGUGUAACUAGCAAGCUUAAGCCGGUAGGUGUAGGCGCAGCGAAAGCGAGUCUGAAUAGGGCGUUUUAGUUAGUUGCAUUAGACCCGAAACCGAGUGAUCUAGCCAUGAGCAGGCUGAAGGUUGGGUAACACCAACUGGAGGGCCGAACCCGCAUCUGUUGCAAUAGAUUGGGAUGACUUGUGGCUAGGGGUGAAAGGCCAAUCAAACUCGGAGAUAGCUGGUUCUCCGCGAAAUCUAUUUAGGUAGAGCGUCGACCGAAUACCCCAGGGGGUAGAGCACUGGAUGGGCUAUGGGGACUCACCGUCUUACUGAUCCUAACCAAACUCCGAAUACCUGGGAGUACUAGUCGGCAGACACACGGCGGGUGCUAACGUCCGUCGUGAAGAGGGCAACAACCCUGACCUCCAGCUAAGGUCCCCAAGUCAUGGCUAAGUGGGAAAGGAUGUGAGGAUCCCAAAACAACCAGGAUGUUGGCUUAGAAGCAGCCAUCAUUUAAAGAAAGCGUAACAGCUCACUGGUCUAAAUAAGGGUCUUUGCGCCGAAAAUGUAACGGGGCUAAAGCCAUGCACCGAAGCUGAGGAUGUGGAUUUAUCCACGUGGUAGCGGAGCGUUCCGUAAGCCUGUGAAGGGGUACCCGUGAGGGGCCCUGGAGGUAUCGGAAGUGCGAAUGUUGACAUGAGUAACGAUAAAGGGGGUGAGAGACCCCCUCGCCGAAAGACCAAGGGUUCCUGCUUAAAGUUAAUCUGAGCAGGGUUAGCCGGCCCCUAAGGCGAGGCAGAAAUGCGUAGUCGAUGGGAACCACGUUAAUAUUCGUGGGCCUGGUGGUAGUGACGGAUUGCGUAACUUGUUCGGACUUAUUGGAUUGUCCGGGCGGGGAAGCGGUUCCAGGAAAUAGCUCCACCGUAUAGACCGUACCCGAAACCGACACAGGUGGUCAGGUAGAGUAUACCAAGGCGCUUGAGAGAACUAUGUUGAAGGAACUCGGCAAAUUGCACGCGUAACUUCGGAAGAAGCGUGACCCCUUUUGACGCAAGUCAGAUGGGGUGGCACAGACCAGGGGGUAGCGACUGUUUAUCAAAAACACAGGGCUCUGCGAAGUCGCAAGACGACGUAUAGGGUCUGACGCCUGCCCGGUGCUGGAAGGUUAAGAGGAGAGGUGCAAGCUUUGAAUCGAAGCCCCAGUAAACGGCGGCCGUAACUAUAACGGUCCUAAGGUAGCGAAAUUCCUUGUCGGGUAAGUUCCGACCUGCACGAAUGGCGUAACGACUUCCCCGCUGUCUCCAACAUAGACUCAGUGAAAUUGAAUUCCCCGUGAAGAUGCGGGGUUCCUGCGGUCAGACGGAAAGACCCCGUGCACCUUUACUAUAGCUUUACACUGGCAUUCGUGUCGGCAUGUGUAGGAUAGGUGGUAGGCUUUGAAGCAGGGACGCCAGUUUCUGUGGAGCCAUCCUUGAAAUACCACCCUUAUCGUCAUGGAUGUCUAACCGCGAUCCGUCAUCCGGAUCCGGGACAGUGUAUGGUGGGUAGUUUGACUGGGGCGGUCGCCUCCGAAAGAGUAACGGAGGCGCGCGAUGGUGGGCUCAGACCGGUCGGAAAUCGGUCGUCGAGUGCAAUGGCAUAAGCCCGCCUGAC
rnacentral:rRNA from 1 species